UGGGGAAUUUUGGACAAUGGGCGAAAGCCUGAUCCAGCCAUGCCGCGUGAGUGAAGAAGGCCUUCGGGUUGUAAAGCUCUUUUAGUCGGAAAGAAAGAGUUGCAAUGAAUAAUUGUGAUUUAUGACGGUACCGACAGAAAAAGCACCGGCUAACUACGUGCCAGCAGCCGCGGUAAUACGUAGGGUGCGAGCGUUAAUCGGAAUUACUGGGCGUAAAGGGUGCGCAGGCGGUCUUGCAAGUCAGAUGUGAAAGCCCCGGGCUUAACCUGGGAAUUGCGUUUGAAACUACAAGGCUAGAGUGCAGCAGAGGGGAGUGGAAUUCCAUGUGUAGCAGUGAAAUGCGUAGAGAUGUGGAAGAACACCGAUGGCGAAGGCAGCUCCCUGGGUUGACACUGACGCUCAUGCACGGAAGCGUGGGGAGCAAACA
rnacentral:rRNA from 1 species